GAUAACUGGCUUGGGGCAGCCAAGUGUUCAUAGCGACGUUACUUUUGAUCCUUCGAUUUCAGCUCUUCCUGUCAUAAUGAAGUAGAAUUCAGUAAGCGUUGGAUUGUUCACCCACUAAUAGGGAACGUGAGCUGGGUUUAGAACGUCGUGAGACAUGUC
rnacentral:ncRNA from 1 species